rnacentral:rRNA from 1 species
GACGAACGCGGGCGGCGUGCGUAAUACAUGCAAGUAGAACGCACAGGAUGCACCGUAGUUUACUACACCGUAUUCUGUGAGUUGCGAACGGGUGAGUAACGCGUAGGUAACCUGCCUGGUAGCGGGGGAUAACUAUUGGAAACGAUAGCUAAUACCGCAUAAGAACAUUUACUGCAUGGUAGAUGUUUAAAAGGUGCAAAAGCAUCACUACCAGAUGGACCUGCGUUGUAUUAGCUAGUUGGUGAGGUAACGGCUCACCAAGGCAACGAUACAUAGCCGACCUGAGAGGGUGAUCGGCCACACUGGGACUGAGACACGGCCCAGACUCCUACGGGAGGCAGCAGUAGGGAAUCUUCGGCAAUGGGGGGAACCCUGACCGAGCAACGCCGCGUGAGUGAAGAAGGUUUUCGGAUCGUAAAGCUCUGUUGUUAAGGAAGAACGUGUGUGAGAGUGGAAAGUUCACACAGUGACGGUACUUAACCAGAAAGGGACGGCUAACUACGUGCCAGCAGCCGCGGUAAUACGUAGGUCCCGAGCGUUGUCCGGAUUUAUUGGGCGUAAAGCGAGCGCAGGCGGUUAGAUAAGUCUGAAGUGAAAGGCAGUGGCUCAACCAUUGUAGGCUUUGGAAACUGUUUAACUUGAGUGCAGAAGGGGAGAGUGGAAUUCCAUGUGUAGCGGUGAAAUGCGUAGAUAUAUGGAGGAACACCGGUGGCGAAAGCGGCUCUCUGGUCUGUAACUGACGCUGAGGCUCGAAAGCGUGGGGAGCGAACAGG